CCUACGGGAGGCAGCAGUGGGGGAUAUUGGACAAUGGGGGAAACCCUGAAGCAGCGACGCCGCGUGAAGGAAGAAGUCUUUAGGUAUGUAAACUUCUAUCAGCAGGGAAGAAAAUGACGGUACCUGACUAAGAAGCCCCGGCUAACUACGUGCCAGCAGCCGCGGUACUACGUAGGGGGCAAGCGUUAUCCGGAUUUACUGGGUGUAACGGGAGCGUAGGCGGUUUAGCAAGUCAGAAGUGAAAGCCCGGGGCUCAACUCCGGGACUGCUGUUGAAACUGUUGAACUAGAGUGCAGGAGAGGUAAGUGGAAUUCGUGGUGUAGCGGUGAAAUGCGUAGAUAUUAGGAGGAACUCCAGUGGCGAAGGCGGCUUACUGGACUGUAAAUGACGCUGAGGCUCGAAAGCGUGGGUAGCAAACAGGAUUAGAUACCCUAGUAGUC
rnacentral:rRNA from 1 species